GACGAACCGUGCGAACGUUAUUCGGAAUCACUGGGCUUAAAGCGCGUGUAGGUGGCUUGGCACGUCUGUCGCUGAAAUCCCCCGGCUCAACCGGGGAACGGGCGUGGAUACGACCAGGCUGGAGGGAUGUAGGGGGAUCGGGAACUUCCGGUGGAGCGGUGAAAUGCGUUGAGAUCGGAAGGAACGCCCGUGGCGAAAGCGCGGUCCUGGACAUUUCCUGACACUGAGACGCGAAAGCUAGGGGAGCAAACGGG
rnacentral:rRNA from 1 species